rnacentral:rRNA from 1 species
CGUCUAACUCUGGUCCGUGAUCCGGAUCGGGGACAGUGUCUGGUGGGUAGUUUAACUGGGGCGGUUGCCUCCUAAAAGGUAACGGAGGCGCCCAAAGGUUCCCUCAGCCUGGUUGGCAAUCAGGUGUUGAGUGUAAGUGCACAAGGGAGCUUGACUGUGAGACUGACGGGUCGAGCAGGAGCGAAAGCUGGGACUAGUGAUCCGGCAUCGGCAUGUGGAAGCGGUGUCGCUCAACGGCUAAAAGGUACCCCGGGGAUAACAGGCUGAUCUUCCCCAAGAGUCCAUAUCGACGGGAUGGUUUGGCACCUCGAUGUCGGCUCGUCGCAUCCUGGGGCUGGAGUAGGUCCCAAGGGUUGGGCUGUUCGCCCAUUAAA